CCUACGGGGGGCUGCAGUGAGGAAUAUUGGUCAAUGGACGCAAGUCUGAACCAGCCAUGCCGCGUGCAGGAAGACGGCUCUAUGAGUUGUAAACUGCUUUUGUACGAGGGUAAACGCAGGUACGCGUAUCUGUCUGAAAGUAUCGUACGAAUAAGGAUCGGCUAACUCCGUGCCAGCAGCCGGGGUAAUACGGAGGAGUCAAGCGUUAUCCGGAUUUAUUGGGUUUAAAGGGUGCGUAGGCGGUCGGAUAAGUUAGAGGUGAAAUCCCGAGGCUCAACUUCGGAAUUGCCUCUGAGACUGUUAGGCUAGAGAGUAGUUGCGGUAGGCGGAAUGUAUGGUGUAGCGGUGAAAUGCUUAGAGAUCAUACAGAACACCGAUUGCGAAGGCAGCUUACCAAGCUACUUCUGACGUUGAGGCACGAAAGCGUGGGGAGCAAACAGGAUUAGAUACCCGGGUAGUC
rnacentral:rRNA from 1 species